UACGGGGGGGGCAAGCGUUGUUCGGAAUUACUGGGCGUAAAGGGCUCGUAGGCGGCCAACUAAGUCAUACGUGAAAUCCCUCGGCUUAACCGGGGAACUGCGUCUGAUACUGGAUGGCUUGAGUUCGGGAGAGGGAUGCGGAAUUCCAGGUGUAGCGGUGAAAUGCGUAGAUAUCUGGAGGAACACCGGUGGCGAAGGCGGCAUUCUGGACCGACAUUGACGCUGAGGAGCGAAAGCCAGGGGAGCAAACGGG
rnacentral:rRNA from 1 species